rnacentral:rRNA from 1 species
GAAACAUCUAAGUACCCCGAGGAAAAGAAAUCAACCGAGAUUCCCCCAGUAGCGGCGAGCGAACGGGGAGCAGCCCAGAGCCUGAAUCAGUGUGUGUGUUAGUGGAAGCGUCUGGAAAGGCGCGCGAUACAGGGUGACAGCCCCGUACACAAAAAUGCACAUGCUGUGAGCUCGAUGAGUAGGGCGGGACACGUGGUAUCCUGUCUGAAUAUGGGGGGACCAUCCUCCAAGGCUAAAUACUCCUGACUGACCGAUAGUGAACCAGUACCGUGAGGGAAAGGCGAAAAGAACCCCGGCGAGGGGAGUGAAAAAGAACCUGAAACCGUGUACGUACAAGCAGUGGGAGCACGCUUAGGCGUGUGACUGCGUACCUUUUGUAUAAUGGGUCAGCGACUUAUAUUCUGUAGCAAGGUUAACCGAAUAGGGGAGCCGAAGGGAAACCGAGUCUUAACUGGGCGUUAAGUUGCAGGGUAUAGACCCGAAACCCGGUGAUCUAGCCAUGGGCAGGUUGAAGGUUGGGUAACACUAACUGGAGGACCGAACCGACUAAUGUUGAAAAAUUAGCGGAUGACUUGUGGCUGGGGGUGAAAGGCCAAUCAAACCGGGAGAUAGCUGGUUCUCCCCGAAAGCUAUUUAGGUAGCGCCUCGUGAAUUCAUCUCCGGGGGUAGAGCACUGUUUCGGCAAGGGGGUCAUCCCGACUUACCAACCCGAUGCAAACUACGAAUACCGGAGAAUGUUAUCACGGGAGACACACGGCGGGUGCUAACGUCCGUCGUGAAGAGGGAAACAACCCAGACCGCCAGCUAAGGUCCCAAAGUCAUGGUUAAGUGGGAAACGAUGUGGGAAGGCCCAGACAGCCAGGAUGUUGGCUUAGAAGCAGCCAUCAUUUAAAGAAAGCGUAAUAGCUCACUGGUCGAGUCGGCCUGCGCGGAAGAUGUAACGGGGCUAAACCAUGCACCGAAGCUGCGGCAGCGACGCUUAUGCGUUGUUGGGUAGGGGAGCGUUCUGUAAGCCUGCGAAGGUGUGCUGUGAGGCAUGCUGGAGGUAUCAGAAGUGCGAAUGCUGACAUAAGUAACGAUAAAGCGGGUGAAAAGCCCGCUCGCCGGAAGACCAAGGGUUCCUGUCCAACGUUAAUCGGGGCAGGGUGAGUCGACCCCUAAGGCGAGGCCGAAAGGCGUAGUCGAUGGGAAACAGGUUAAUAUUCCUGUACUUGGUGUUACUGCGAAGGGGGGACGGAGAAGGCUAUGUUGGCCGGGCGACGGUUGUCCCGGUU